ACUAAAUUUUAAUUACUCCAUAUAUCCAUGGUUCUUACUAUGCUCCUAUAGUAGCAAAUCUGUAGGAGUUCCUAAAUCCGAGGAAAAAAAAAAUAUUUGGAUUCUAAGUAACAUUUAGAAGAGAAUAACAAAGCUACAGGACUCCCUGAAUUGGGUAGCCGUGGAGUGAAUUUCAUCAACUGAUGGAUUUUUCACUUUCCGGGAAAGGUAAUUCGACUAGCGUGCCUCGAUUCUACGAUGAGAUAAUCUAAACUCCAAAAGUACACUUGGACUGUUUGUAUGUGAAUUUUACUACCCUGACUGACUUUGACGACAUAGAAUAGGAAGUGCUAGUUUCUGACAAUAGAAAAUUUCAUAGAAUGACAAAACUUACAUAAUUGAUUUUGGUAAUUUAUCUCUAGCAGACUGGAACUGUAUCAUACUUAUUAUACAUGUAUAGUUUCUAAAGAAAAGAAAAAGAAAAAAAUACUUCACACGAGUGUGCAUUCCACAAAGUAGAACUCAAACUCAAACCAGUACAUAUCAAUAAGUUUCAAGUGCUUUUAAUCUGUGUCUCUGAUCUCCCAUGACCUGAAAACAACAGAUUCGAUACUUAAACUGAAAACACUAGAAGUCUCCUGGAAAUCCACUUAAUUGUGAAGAGGGUUUGGUCCACUAGGGACAGCUUGAUGAGCAACAGCGCUUAUUUGGUUCAUCUUCUUAUAUCGAGAUCCUGCAGUAUGCGAAUCAGCUGCACCAAGAUGCCUAAAUUCAGUAGAAACCCCGGCUCUUACUCUCGGUUUGGAUUGAACUUCUUCACUGCUGGUACAGCACUCGGUGAUGUGCCGCAGGCAACCAGAAACAUGAAGUAGAGCUAGAAUGACAACAAUGAACAUAAAGAGAGAGAGUUUAGGAAUUCUCAUGGCUCAAAAUAGAAGUUAAAGUACAAGAAGCUGUUUAUUUGUUAGCAGGUUUGAGCUUUAGAGGAUUAUUUAUAAGGAAGGAAUAGAAGCCAAGACAGCCAACCCUUUUGUAUUGUCUCGUCAAUUUUAACUUCUUUUGCGCAAACCUGUGGUGAGAAACAUCCAAAAUGCAUAAAUCAAUCAUAUCACAAUGCUUAAACACUUCAUUUUCUAAUCAUUGUUAGGCCUAAUUGAAAAAGAAUGAGAUAUUAAGUAAUCCAUAUCGGAAAGACCAACGUUAUAAUAACAAGCGAAGCGAUUGAUGAGAAAAGCUGAUAUAGGAAGGUAUAAGCAGCGUUUGAUAUAGGAAGGUACAGAAUGAUACUGAGAUAUAAGCAGCGUUUGGUAAGAUGCAGCAUCUGAUCUACAGUUCAGAUUGUUAGAUAUUUUGUCAUCACGCCGCGUUUGGCGUCACACGCUCCAGAUUGCACAUCGGAUAAGGAACCGCGGAUUAGGUAACUCUAAUGCAUUACAUAGCUCUUAGACUAGCUUGGUCGGCCAGGCAUGUACAGAGAUAAGAGUACCAUAUAUGCAAAAGUUCAAGGGAGUUAUCAAGACUAAUCAGAAGAAAUGCAGUAGCUAAGGGACCAAGGCAUUAAUAUGCACAGUGCACUGAAAAGAUAUGUCAAUGACCCAAUUAUACACAGGUCCUUGGUCUUGUGGUACAAGUUGAAGAUCUGAAAAUGAAAAUUCUGGUGGAAGAUAUUCCUUUUUCUCUUCUGGUUUAAAGUUUUAGACCACCAUGAAAGAAUUUCACAGCAUCUUUACUGCUGUUUGGUAUAUUUGCUUUUCAAGUAUCUCAAGGAUUUGCCUCCAAACUCCAGAGGGUGGUAAAUGACAUGGAAACCCUCAAACCCUUUACACCAGAAAGAGAAGACCUUCAAAUCCCUACAUAAAUGGGAUUUUGAUGCUAUAUUUCCUAAGAAUGGGAAGAAAAAAAAAGGAUGUUAAAAAGCCGAUGUAUCAUCAAAGUGCUUUUCAUAGCAUGUUUAUCGUUCUUGUAGACUAAUGCAUAAAUUUUGCUGGAGAAGAAGACUUCCUAAAAAGCGCUGCCAGGGGACACUUCAUAUAGGACAAGUUCUACUGAAAUCAUUACGAAGAGAAGCCAGGAAGUAUGGAAUGAGAUUUUUUGUUUGACAAAAGUUUAGCAUGGUCAUGGUUCAUUAGUUUUUAGCGGAUGAGUUCUCUAGCAAAAACAUUUCACCAGAGUGAAAUCCUGUCUUCCCGGAAAAUAUAUUAACAGUAGGCACAGAAACUGCAGUCUAUGGAAGUCAAGCCUCUAGUUUAUGAGGAUAAUAGCCGAAAUUUGUGUCCAAA